GGGACCAUGGCGCAGUUGGCUAGCGCGCAGGUCUCAUACACUGUAUGAUCAGCCCGUUCACGAGUUGAGUAAUCCUGAGGUCGGGAGUUCGAGCCUCCCUGGUCCCA
rnacentral:tRNA from 1 species